rnacentral:lncRNA from 1 species
UUCUUACUGCUCCGCUUGUCUGUUAUUCAGUUCCAGUCUUCCUCCCUCUCCCUCUCCUCAGGCUUCCCUAUUCCCUGAGACAUAACAAUAUUGAAAUUAGGCCAAAUUAUAAUCCAAAAUGAUCUCUAAGUAUUCAAGUAAAAGGAAGAAUCGAUCAACACAGCAAACUUCAUUGUUGUCUUAUUUUUAGAAAUUGCCACAGCCAUGCCAACCUUCAGCCAUCAUAUCCUGAUCAGACCACAGGCAUCAACAUUGAGAAUCUUCUCUAAAGAUCUCUGACAUUGACCUAAUUUUUAGGGAUUGACCCUGGUCUGCAAAUGACCCUGGUAGUUUCUAGAAUUGUUCCAGGCUUUGGGAAAACUUGGAUUUAAGGUAAAUUCUCUCCCAUUUAAUUUUUUAAAUACCUUUAAAUCCCUCUAUGAAUUUUGAGGGAUGAUUGCCAUUAAUUCUAUAAAUUCAUUAAAUGAUUCCUCUGG